CAAGACCUCGCGCGAUUGGAGCGGCCGAUAUCAGAUUAGGUAGUUGGUGAGGUAAAGGCUCACCAAGCCGACGAUCUGUAGCUGGUCUGAGAGGACGACCAGCCACACGUGGGACUGAGACACCGGCCCAGACUCCGUACGGGGAGGCAGCAGGUGGGGAAUUUUGGACAAUGGGCGCAAGCCUGAUCCAGCAAUGCCGCGUGCAGGAUGAAGGCCUUCGGGUUGUAAACUGCUUUGUACGGAACGAAACGGUGAGCUCUAAUACAGUUUGCUAAUGACGGUACCGUAAGAAUAAGCACCGGCUAACUACGUG
rnacentral:rRNA from 1 species